AAUAAGUGCAGUUUUGCAUUAUUCACGUUCAACGUUUGACCGUCCGUCUUAUUUAAAAAAUUUGUGGAAAAAUUAAAAACAUUUAGUCACACAUAAAGUACUAUUCAUGUUUUAUCAUCUAAUAGCAAUAAAAAUACUAAUCAUAAAAAAUUUUCAAAUAAGACGGACGGUCAAACGUUGAACGUGAAUAGUGUAAAACUGCACUUAUU
rnacentral:pre_miRNA from 1 species